GGCAGAGGUGGCUCAAUGGUUAAGGCUCUGAGUUACUGAUCAGAAGGUUGUGGGUUCAAGCCCCAGCAACGCCA